CGUCUCCCCGCCUACGGCUUUUGGGGGAUGAAACAGGAGCGCCAAGUGCUGAGGAGCAGAGGGGACUCCGGUGGAAGUUCCCCUGGAUUUGCGUUCGAGCUAAGACCCCUAAAGUGAAACAUCCAUACCCAACAGAGGUUACAUUGCCCAAAACACCAAGACCAGAGAGAUCGACACAUCUGUACAUACAACGGUGCGUGCAUUGGAGAACGGAGAGAAGGGGAACAGCAGAGGCAGAGCCCAGGACCCGGGACCCCCGGCAGCAGCGGCUGAGCCAGCCGCCCCCAGCCCCGGAGAACUCCGGCCAGCCAGCCGCGGCGGCACCUGUGGCCGCGGGAAGCGGAGCGGCAGCGGAGGCGGAGCCGGGUGAUCCCGGAGCGGGUCGCAGAGCGGAGGCGCUCACAGGACUCCGACGUCCCAACCCCAGCGGCGCCCGCAGCCCCGGGGCAACAGGCAACCGCUGAGGCAGUGCCCCGCGGACCUGCUCCUUCCACCCGCUCGUUCCCCUUCUCAACGCCACCACCCCACCCGCACCUCGGCAGAGCUCCUGACCCAGGUGAUCCCUGACACAGUGGGGGCAUCAGCUAUCCCUGUGUUUCCUGGCAGCUGCGAAGCCAGCGACAGCGAGGCAUCAAUGACCCCCAGGGGUGUAGGCAGCGACACCCUGAAUAGAGGCUCUGGAGGGUGGAACAUGCAGAUCCUCAAACGUAGCCAGAGGCAGCUCAGGUAGAAGAAACCAAAAAACUGGCGCUAUAGCGCCACCUACUGAAAAGCAAAAGAAAGGCCUCUAAUCUCCAACUGAUGGAAAAGUUUGAAUCAAAACAAACCAACCCAUGCCUAAAUAAGAAAAGUGUUUGCCAUGACAAAUGCUCCGGCAGAGGAAUAACUCAGCAAGCACCACAAACAACUACGGUAACGUGGCAUCGCAAAAAGAAAAUAACGGUUCUUCGGAAACCAAACAUAAAUUCAUGGAAGAUUGUGCUCUAACCCAUGAAGAAUUCGAAAUAGCCGUCAUGAAGAAACAGUGAGCUACCAGAAAACUCAGAAAGGCGGCUCACUGAGUCAGGAUAAAAUCAAUGAACAGAAGACAAUUCAUCUUAUAUUCCCUUCCCUUUCCAAAAUCCUCCCCUAACCAAUUAGUUGCUGAAAGAUGCAAGCUCAUAUCAGCAACGUCUCAUUUUCCAUCCGUUUUCUAUCUCCACCAUUCCUACCCUAGUUCAGGUCUUUUGCAAUAACAUCUCGCAUGUUUCCAUCUCUAAUAUCUGGCAUCUCUAAUGGAUCUUUUAAGUUCUACCAAGUUAUCUGCAGAAAAAACACUCCUGAUUAUAUCUCUUACCUUUUUUAAUGUUUGCAGGCCUAUUGCUACAGAAAAAAUAAAUACGAAACCUUUUGUGUAUAA